AACGCACCUUGCGCUCCUUGGUAUUCCGAGGAGCAUGCCUGUUUGAGUGUCAUGAAUCUCUCAAACUAUACAUGGUUUUUGUUAAUCAUUGUAUUAGUUUGGACUUGGAGGUCUGCUGGCGCAAGUCAGCUCCUCUUAAAUGUAUUAGCUUGGAUUCUUGUAUGUGGAUCCUUGGUGUGAUAAUUAUCUACGCCAUGAUGUCCCUUCAAAUUAUAAUCCUGCUUCUAAUCGUCUGUGAAAAGACAAAUGUGUUCAUCACUUGACAUCUGACCUCAAAUCAGGUAGGACUACCCGCUGAACUUAA
rnacentral:misc_RNA from 2 species